rnacentral:rRNA from 1 species
ACUUGGGAAUUGCGCUUGUGACUGGCGUGCUGGAGUGUGGCAGAGGGAGGUGGAAUUCCACGUGUAGCAGUGAAAUGCGUAGAGAUGUGGAGGAACACCGAUGGCGAAGGCAGCCUCCUGGGCCAGCACUGACGCUCAUGCACGAAAGCGUGGGGAGCAAACAGGAUUAGAUACCCUGGUAGUCCACGCCCUAAACGAUGUCAACUGGUUGUUGGUGGGGUUAAACCCAUUAGUAACGAAGCUAACGCGUGAAGUUGACCGCCUGGGGAGUACGGCCGCAAGGUUAAAACUCAAAGGAAUUGACGGGGACCCGCACAAGCGGUGGAUGAUGUGGAUUAAUUCGAUGAUACGCGAGAAACCUUACCAGGGUUUGACAUGCACAGGAAUAGUUCAGAGAUGGGCUAGCCCGCAAGGGUCUGUGCACAGGUGCUG